CAGUCGCCACGGGAAUACGUAGGUGGCAAGCGUUGUCCGGAAUUAUUGGGCGUAAAGGGCUCGCAGGCGGUUUCUUAAGUCUGAUGUGAAAGCCCCCGGCUCAACCGGGGAGGGUCAUUGGAAACUGGGAAACUUGAGUGCAGAAGAGGAGAGUGGAAUUCCACGUGUAGCGGUGAAAUGCAUAGAGAUGUGGAGGGACACCAGUGGCGAAGGCGACUCUCUGGUCUGUAACUGACGCUGAGGAGCGAAAGCGUGGGGAGCGAACAGGAUUAGAUACCCCGGUAGUCCCUGUCUCUUAUUC
rnacentral:rRNA from 1 species